AACGUAGGAGGCGAGCGUUAUCCGGAUUUACUGGGUGUAAAGCGCGUGCAGGCGGUUGGCGAAGUUGGGUGUGAAAGCUCCUGGCUCAACUGGGAGAGGUCGCUCAAAACUGGCUGACUAGAGCAUGGUAGGGGAAGGUGGAAUUCCGGGUGUAGUGGUGAAAUGCGUAGAUAUCCGGAGGAACACCAGUGGCGAAAGCGGCCUUCUAGACCAUGACUGACGCUCAGACGCGAAAGCUAGGGGAGCAAACGGG
rnacentral:rRNA from 1 species